rnacentral:rRNA from 1 species
CAUGCAAGUCGAACGAAACCUUUCGGGGUUUAGUGGCGGACGGGUGAGUAACGCGUGAGAAUCUGGCUUCAGGUCUGGGACAACCACUGGAAACGGUGGCUAAUACCGGAUGUGCCGAGAGGUGAAAGGUUAACUGCCUGAAGAUGAGCUCGCGUCUGAUUAGCUAGUUGGUAGUGUAAUGGACAACCAAGGCGACGAUCAGUAGCUGGUCUGAGAGGACGAUCAGCCACACUGGGACUGAGACACGGCCCAGACUCCUACGGGAGGCAGCAGUGGGGAAUUUUCCGCAAUGGGCGAAAGCCUGACGGAGCAAUACCGCGUGAGGGAGGAAGGCUCUUGGGUCGUAAACCUCUUUUCUCAGGGAAGAACACAAUGACGGUACCUGAGGAAUAAGCAUCGGCUAACUCCGUGCCAGCAGCCGCGGUAAUACGGAGGAUGCAAGCGUUAUCCGGAAUGAUUGGGCGUAAAGCGUCCGCAGGUGGCGAUGUAAGUCUGCUGUUAAAGCGUCUAGCUCAACUAGAUAAAAGCAGUGGAAACUACCUACGCUAGAGUGCGUUCGGGGCAGAGGGAAUUCCUGGUGUAGCGGUGAAAUGCGCAGAGAUCAGGAAGAACACCAGUGGCGAAGGCGCUCUGCUAGGCCGCAACUGACACUGAGGGACGAAAGCUAGGGGAGCGAAUGGGAUUAGAUACCCCAGUAGUCCUAGCCGUAAACGAUGGAUACUAAGCAUGGCUUGUAUCGACCCGAGCCGUGCCGUAGCUAACGCGUUAAGUAUCCCGCCUGGGGAGUACGCCGGCAACGGUGAAACUCAAAGGAAUUGAC